rnacentral:lncRNA from 1 species
AGCCAGUGCCCCGGGACCACCUGCCCCACCGCCCAGUGCCUGGGAGGGAACCUCCCAACAGGGCAGCUUCCCUGGCAAAUGGAGGCCACAGAGGCCAGCCGCUCCAGGGGUGAGCAGCUCGGAGGCAGUGCCUAGGAGCGCCUGGGCUCCCGGGUCCUUUCCUGCAGCCUGAAGCUCUUCAGGGAGCCUGAGAAAG